rnacentral:rRNA from 1 species
AGCGAACGCUGGCGGCAGGCCUAACACAUGCAAGUCGAACGAACUCUUCGGAGUUAGUGGCGGACGGGUGAGUAACACGUGGGAACGUGCCUUUUGGUUCGGAAUAACUCAGGGAAACUUGUGCUAAUACCGAAUGUGCCCUUCGGGGGAAAGAUUUAUCGCCAUUAGAGCGGCCCGCGUCUGAUUAGCUAGUUGGUGAGGUAACGGCUCACCAAGGCGACGAUCAGUAGCUGGCCUGUGAGGAUGACCAGCCACACUGGGACUGAGACACGGCCCAGACUCCUACGGGAGGCAGCAGUGGGGAAUCUUGCGCAAUGGGCGAAAGCCUGACGCAGCCAUGCCGCGUGAAUGAUGAAGGUCUUAGGAUUGUAAAAUUCUUUCACCGGGGACGAUAAUGACGGUACCCGGAGAAGAAGCCCCGGCUAACUUCGUG